UACGUAGGGAGCAAGCGUUGUCCGGAAUCAUUGGGCGUAAAGCGCGCGUAGGCGGCCCUGUAAGUCCGUUGUGAAAGUCAAAGGCUCAACCUUUGAAAGCCGAUGGAUACUGCAGGGCUAGAGUCCGGAAGAGGCGAGUGGAAUUCCUGGUGUAGCGGUGGAAUGCGCAGAUAUCAGGAGGAACGACCAAUAGCGAAGGCAGCUCGCUGGGACGGUACUGACGCUAAGGCGCGAAAGCGUGGGGCGAACGAGG
rnacentral:rRNA from 1 species